GAGACUCGGCGGGUCAGGGACGGUGCGACCGGAAGAGAGCGACGCCGGCUACUGCUCCGGUGUGCUCGUGAUCUACGGCUUUGCACCGCAGACUUCCUGCCGUUCCUGAGCCCGUCCCGGGGAGUCCACUGAGGACGCUACCACCUGCUACGGCCAGGGGUGUGUCUACCGCUGUUGCCACCCUUCCGGGUGGUGCCCCAACGCCAAGAUCAUCGGCCACACCUCCACGGGCGUUUGGACGGGGAGUGUGUACGACGCAACUAACGACGCCUCCAGCGACGCCGGCCCUAGAACGUCGAACGCCACUCCGACGUCGGCUACGGGACCCGCACCACACCACAUCCGCAUCGAACCAGACUUGCUCACGCCCCAGUCGCCACCGCUGUCGCUGCUCCAGUGGCCACCUACACCGCUGCACUAGCUGCCGCCACCAUCACCGUCCAUCACGCCCGUGCUGUCGCCACCGUUUCUCACGCUGCCCCAACUGUCGCUGCCUACCACACUGCCCCAAUCUACGGCUAUAGCGUUGGCACCCUCGGCUACUGUGUUGGCCACUACGGUUAAGGCCACGGUCUCCUCGGCUAAGGUCUGAACUACGGCUACGGUCUUGGCUUGCAUUUCCAGUAAGGUGCUCUUGUCCGCGAGAAGUGUAUCAAAGGCCCUUCACGGUGCAUUGUCGUUCUUUUUUUCGGAGCAAGGGAGCUGGCGCAAAAAUUGGCGUCACCAGAGUGGAAGGGCAAGACAAGCGCCCGCCUGGACAUGGACUGUGACACGCAAACAAAGGAGCUCCACCUUCGAGGCGACAACAGCCGCCGCCCUUCGUAGAUGCAAUAACUGCCUCGAGGACCACUCUACCUCAACCUGAUACUGACAUGCGAACCGUCACUAAUGGCCCACUACUUGACAAAAGGGGCCAACGUCGAGAACUACGGGAACAACUUCGAGAUCAAGUUCCCAGUUUGCCUCGCAUGCGGGGGCCAUCUUGCAACGUUGGAGGCGGAGUAAGGUGGAACGGUGAGGCGGGAUUUUGCAAACGGUUCAACGAUUGUGAUUAGCCAAGAACAGUGAAUUUCCUCGACGAGAGAAAGGGAAAAAAUAAGGUGCCUAAAAAAGGGGAUCCUCAGUGUUGUGGGCGUGUGCUGCUACUCAUACGUGUGCAUGCAUCCGUACGUGUGCUCAUGCUCGUACACGGGCUUGUACUCGAGCUGAUACAUGUAAACCACCAUCCAGCAAAUUUGCAAAUAAACCAUUUUUCUUAUCGCUUA